CCUCCACGCUCACCCGCUCCCGCUCUUCUCUCUGAGGCUCAUAAGGUAGCAAUGAAGGAAGCCUCCUGUAACUGCUUUUCCACCGCUAGGCACUUUGUUGUGUCUAUCCAUGGAGGUCGUCUGGCAAUUUUAUGUGACGUUCACUUUGGAGCAUGUGCUCAUCUUCUAUACCCACAGCAGAGGAAACUGCAGCAGGAAGGUCCAAAUCUGUUCCCCUUGCAAGCCUGCACCUGAUACCUGCAAAUACUCUGCCUCUUGCUGUCACUGGGACCAGAGGAAACAGGAAUGAACUGCGACUCCAGAGCCCAGCACCGACUGAGCUCUAGCUCUGACCCUGAGAUCCAAAAGAAAGAAGGAAAAUGCUUAUUGAGGAUUCUUAUGUGGCAAAACUGCGCCAGUGCUCUUCAGGUUUCAGUCUUAAUUUUAACAGCAAUCCUGUGAAGUGAUUCCUAUUAUGCCUGUUUUACAGAUGAAGA